CAUUAAGAAGCUAUGCAACAGCACUAGCCUUUUAAGCUAGCCAGAGAGGGACCUCUCCCCUCCUUAAUGA
rnacentral:tRNA from 1 species